ACCCGAGCUUCUCCGAGUCGGGACACCUGAAGGAGCACCGGAGGAUCCACACCGGAGAGAAGCCCUACCACUGCAACCAGUGCGACAAGAGCUUCUCCCGGCUGGAGCGGCUCAAGGGCCACCAGAGCAUCCACACGGGCGAGAGGCCCUUCCACUGCACGCAGUGCGGCAAGAACUUCUUCCGCUCGGGAGAACUGAAGCGGCACCAGAGGAUCCACAGCGGCGAGCCAGCGUGAGCGCCUGGAGAGAGCACAAACACCUGAGAGACGGCAGCCGAUCGCCGAGCUUUCCUCUUCGUUUCCUGAUAGAAAUCAGCAAUGCUGUGUGUCGUUUUACAUGUGUUUGUUGUCGUAGACCGUCUGAAGCGCUAGCUCUGCACGCCUCGCUCUGAUCUGAUGCUCCUCACACUCUGUAUGUUGUUCAGAAAUAUAUAGUGCAGUGACUCAUUAGAACUGUAUAUUGUACAGGAGCAUAUUAUUACUGUGUGUGCUCUCAUUCCUUGUAUUUAAUGAGUCUCCCUCAAACUGUCUGUGUUUUUUUUUUUUAUAUAUAAACUGAACUGUUUUACUGCCAGCAUGAGCAGACGCCACCGAAGCGUUUCUGAACCUCUGGUGUCUCUCGAUGCUGGCUGUGUUUUACUAGCUGCCGUAAAUCUCGUGUGCGAAACACAGAAUAACAGUUAUUGUUUCACUGUAACACUUUAACUCAUGAAAGACGUUACAGAGUAUAGAUGUGCUGUAAUUCAGCAGCUGUUUGUGAUCGGUUUCUGAGCACCAGGUGAUUAAUAUAGUAAACCGAGCUCAUGAAUCAUAUUAGAUUUACCUUUUAACUUUUUAAAAUGAGCUCUUUACAUUUGUUAUUGUUUUGAAUGGUCUUCUAUUUUUACUUUAUAUAUGUGUGUAUUUAACCACCAGUAGCUUGGAAGGCUUUAAUGCCAUCAGAAAGGCUUUUUUUAUAAGAGCUGUGUGCAGGAUUGAAUUAUAAUUGUUUGGGUUCUUCAUGUGCAUGAAUGUUUUCUUCAUAUGUGUGUCGUCAUCCUUAAUAAACACUUCACCUCUAAUUACAGCCGCACACAUGAACAUUGAGUUUAUUGGCCUUCCGUAACAUGUCAUCUCCAGACUGCAGCAUUAGAUCAUUAAUAAACACUAAUGUGCCGUGAGAUGAAGCGAGUGAUUAAGGGUUGUUUAAAGCCGAACGGAAGGAGUUUUGUUUUGCGCGUCACACGACAUAUUUUCAUAUCGGUCACAGUAAGUUACUUGCCCCAUUGAGAACGUGAGCUUUUUGCCUAUAUUUCAUGUUUUCAUAUUUAGAAGUAAGCGCUGCAAAGCACUUCCGCUAUUGUGGAAACUGUUCAUUUUUACCACAUCCGCGUGCGCUUUACGGCACUGAUCAGUCGGAAGUCCGGUAACCAGAGAGACGCCUGGAUGCACUGCGGCCGGCGGGAGACGUUUCCCAGAAUGCAAUGCAGCAGAGUUCAGUCCUCUAGCUGUUGCAGAGGAGGGGAAGCUGGAGGGAAGCGUCCCGUUAAAGCACCUCAUCACCUGCAUCCCUGGAGUCACUAUCGUAACGGCCCAGAAAGGCUUCAAGAUCAUCAAGUGGAUUCACAACAAACCCCCGCCGCCCAACGCAGAUCCGUGGCUGCAGCGCAGUAAGAGUCCGGUUGGGAACCCACAGCUGAUCCAGUUCAGCCGAGAGAUGGUGGAUCUGAUGAAGAACCAGCCGUCCUGUUUGGUGCCCAUCACAAAGUUCAUUCCAGCGUAUCACCACCAUUUUGCCAAGCAGUGCCGUGUGUCCGACUACGGAUUCUCCAAACUGCUGGAACUGCUGGAGGCCGUUCCUCACGUGCUGCAGAUCCUGGGUCUAGGCUCCCAAGCGUUUGUUGACGCUGACCCAUCGCGCUCAGAUCAAACGCUUCACUCAAGACCUGCUGAAGUUGCUGAAGUUUCAGGCCAGUAAACAGGUGGUGAUCGGGGACUUCAUGCAGGCGUAUCACUGGUGUUUCUCCAGGAACUGGCAGGUGGUGGAUUAUGGGAUGUGUGAUCUGAUGGACCUGCUGGCUGAGAUUCUGAACACGAUGAUCACAGUCUCUCAGCAGGACGGUGACACGCUCAUCUCUGUUCCCAAGAGAGGUGAAGCACUGCUGCAGAGGCUUGAACAUUUCCGUGGUUUGUUUGUGUGCUGUAUCACACUUGCAAUACGCUGCAUCUCAAGAGUGUAAAACUCACGGCUGGAAUACAUUACACAACUUAUGAACCGAUAUUAAAGCACUAGACAACACACUCUUUCUGACCUUAUGAAUGUUUA